rnacentral:rRNA from 1 species
UACGGAGGGUGCGAGCGUUGUCCGGAAUCACUGGGCGUAAAGGGUGCGUAGGCGGUCGGGUAAGUCUGGCGUGAAAUCUCCAAGCCUAACUUGGAAACUGCGUUGGAUACUAUCCGGCUCGAGGAAUGGAGGGGAGACUGGAAUACUUGGUGUAGCAGUGAAAUGCGUAGAUAUCAAGUGGAACACCAGUGGCGAAGGCGAGUCUCUGGACAUUUCCUGACGCUGAGGCACGAAAGCCAGGGGAGCAAACGGG